UUAGCCCCGCAACGGGACAGGGUUGAACCCCGCCAGGCCCGAAAGGGAGCAACGGUAGGCCUGCCGUCUCGGGUGCGGGGUUUUUAA
rnacentral:SRP_RNA from 1 species